CUCCCCCGCCCACUCCUCUCUCUCUCCUCCUUUCACCACCACCGUAUCCUCACCCACAUCGCCGUACCUUCACCGCCAGCCAGAUCCGGCUUCGUCGCCGCCACCAUCUAUUCCAGAAAUGUGGGUUUUAAGGCAGUUCGUCGUCUGUCAUGGGUUUCGUCGACAUGCCAGCUUGGUCUUUCAGCUCAAUUGGUAUUACAUCUCUGCAAUUUACUUUUCCCUGUUCUUCGUUUCUAUUGUUUAUUAAUAGCAAUUAGAAAGCUAUCUAUUUUGAACUAUGAGGAAAAGGAAAAUGCCCACCAACCAUCCCAACAACAACAAUGAUGGACAUCACUGAAGAAGCAAGUCGUGGACGUCGACUUAGAAGGAAGAAAUCAACAAAACUUACCCAGCAAAGACAGACCUUCCAGCAGUUAACAGAAAACUGAAAUCAGGGCCCCCUACUGUGUCUCAAUUGUUGGAUGGAAUGCUAUGUGGGCUGUUAUGGUAGUUGAAGUAGUAUUUGAGUACCCUCUAGGUGAGUAUUCAUAUGUCACACCUAUGUUUCUUUCUUUUAUUUAAUUCAUUGUGCAUAAGACUUUUGAAAAUGUUAUUCACUUGGAGUCAAAAUUCCAUUACCAUAUGCAGGUUCUACACUUUAUAAGUGUGUAAAUACAGCUAUGGUAGCAUGUCUCACUGAAUCUCUAGGAAUUUUGUUUAUUGCUCUUCUCUGUGCCUUUGAUUUUCUCCAACAGCUAACAGUGUGAUUAAUGAAAGCUAGAUGAGGGAUUCUGUAUGUAAUACAUCUUUCCUUUCUUGUGUCUGUUUGGGAAUUACAAUUGGUUUCCAUCAUGGAGAUAGAUUGAAAACUGUUUGGGAAUUUUGCAGCUGAAAGACUAGAUUUGGAGAAUAUUUAUGUGGGGUGUUUGA